rnacentral:misc_RNA from 1 species
GAGUUGCCUCCCUGUACCGUCAAUCGACGUCACCCGAAGCCAAAAAACCAAAGGCCUCGGUAGUCUCGUCAAGAAAGCAAAUCUUCAGUUAUGCCGUUUUAGAGAUGAUAAAGAUAGGAUAGUCCAUAUUUGCAAACUGCAUUAUUAUUUCUACAAGACUUAGAGAUGUAUGCUGCUAGAGUUUGCAAGGAUUGUGGGGCGGACUGCGUCUUCUUCUGCGAGACAUGUGGGAAGGACCUGUGUUCUGUCCAUAAGGGCGUACACAUGGUAGACCUGGACAAUGCCAAUCACUUUGUUAUCCUCUACAGGGAAAGGAAUGGAUACUUUAUCAAGGACGAAUAUUGUGAGAAACACCCAGAGUUGGCGUGCAAGUUGUGGUGCGACACUUGUGAUGAGCCCUUUUGCGAUGAGUGUUGGAAGGAAAAGAAAAAAGAUCAUGAGAUGCAUGCUAUGAUGGAAGUAUUUGAAGCUUAUAAGAAAUAUAAAGAGGAGUUCAAGCCAAAGAUUGCACAGCUCCGAUCAGAGGUGUUGCCGUACAACCGGGCCAUAUUGGCUGGAAUUGAGCCAGAUAUUCCUGAAUGCGAGGCGCAAAUUGCAGAAUUGAAAGAGAAAAUGAGAGAUAAGGCAGAGAGGCUGAAGAAGUAUAUUGAUAAAUGUGUAAAGAAGAAAUGUCCUAAGCGACUCAAGAGACUGGAAAAUAAGAUUAUUGGUCAACUAAACCAGCAAUGCAUAGAUUUGCAAGAGCACAUUGAUUACCUGAGAGAGCUGGUCUACAGAUAUGAGCAUUCUGCCAAUAAACCUGCAGAAUUCUUGCUUUUUCUGAAGGACCACCCCCUAGACAAAGUACCCGACAUUCCCGAGAGCUGUAAAGAGCUUCCAGAGAUGACCUUCAACACAGAAGUAACGAAAGAAGACGUACUCAAAUUACUCGGGGAAAUCACAGUUGAGGAGACUGGAAUCCGAAAGCCAGAAUACAGAUUCACGCUGGAACGUUUGAGGGUGGUUAAACAUUUGAGGACGGUUCCUGUCACUGGUGUAAAAUCUGCAUGCCAUAUGUCCUGUAAAUCAGCCACAGAGUUUUGGAUCAGUGAUAAAGUAAAUCUUGUACUGAUUGACCAGACAGGAAAAAAGCUGUCUGAUGUUAAAGAUAAGCUUGAUAAAGAAUGUGGGGUCCAUGCCGUCACCAAGGAUGGAGAUCUCAUCUACAUUGACAAGAAAUCCAAUAUUAGAAAAUUGUUGAAAGACAAGAAAGAUAAGCCAUCAACUCUGAUCAAUAGUAAGGAAAGUUGGGAGACCCUGAGUGUCUUCUGCUCUUUUGAAAGCGACGACAUUUUGGUUGGAAUGAUAAUCCAUAACAUUAACCGGGCUAUGGUGGUCCGUUACAGCAGCGACGGAAAGGAGAAGCACUUCAUCGAGUGCGAACACUAUACCACCCCUCUGUUUGUCACUGAAAACCAUAAUCAGGAUGUGGUGGUCUCCAAUCACGAUCGGAACAGCAGCUCGGUAGUGGUAACCAAUGGUGGCGGAGAGUACCGCUUUUCUUUCAAUGGCCCUCCAAAAGAACCAGGAUUCAAACCAAGAAGUAUAUGCGUGGAUGGAUUGUCUAACAUCCUGGUAUAUGAUGAUAACUCCAAGUCCAUAGUGAUGAUUGAUGUAGAUGGCCAUUACUUGGAAAUUUUCCAGGUGCAGCAAAAUUUGAUCCAGUCACCUAGAUGUGUUAGUUACAGCAUUGACAACCACACAGUCUUUGUUUAUUCAUCCUCCAACAGCCACGUGGUUGUUAGUCGCCACAUUAACAGACAGGAGUACCUGGGAAAGCCCACAAUAGAUCCCGAUGCUGAUAAAAAG